GGACCGUUAGCUCAGCUGGAUAGAGCGCUGCCCUCCGAAGGCAGAGGCCAGAGGUUCGAAUCCUCUACGGUCCGCCA
rnacentral:tRNA from 7 species